CUGCGAACUGUAAAUCCAGCAAAAUAUUGUGAUAACGUUACGCUCCGCGAAACAUCUGAGGUUAAAAGAAUUCUCUAGACCUAUAGGACCAACCAACGCAGAAGAAGGACGGGUCCCGGGGUAUACUUAAGGACGAGUUCUCUGUGGUAUCCCUUUUAGCCGGUAUAAGGGUUUUAAACUGAGUGAUGACGCAGACAGGUGCAUUUCCACUUGGACACUGGCGUAC